rnacentral:rRNA from 1 species
UACGGAGGAUGCAAGCGUUAUCCGGAUUUAUUGGGUUUAAAGGGUGCGUAGGCGGUCUGUUAAGUCAGCGGUGAAAUUUAGGGGCUCAACCUCUACCGUGCCGUUGAUACUGGCAGGCUGGAAUGCGGAUGCCGUGGGAGGAAUGUGUGGUGUAGCGGUGAAAUGCAUAGAUAUCACACAGAACACCGAUUGCGAAGGCAUCUCACGAAUCCGCUAUUGACGCUGAUGCACGAAAGCGUGGGGAUCAAACAGG